AUAGAUCGUUUCCGCCUCUACAUAGAGAUAAUAGUGUCAUCUGCGAACCAAAAUGAUGAAUUGAACUUUGGAAAAGAAAGGAAAAAAACUUUCGAUUUUUGAUCUUUACAGAAUUUCAUAGUUUGGAAGGAUUUUCAAGAUACGUUACGUAGAAAAGACUCUUUUUAAAAGAGUCUUUAGAUUCGGGAGUGUAAAAAUGUAAGUGAAACGUAAGUGGCGGAUACAGAGUUAACCUCAAAUUCAUUGUCCCUAUAUUUUCUACUUUUAGAAGAAAUUUUUAUUCAUCAUUUUUAAUAUUUCAGAUUUUCUAUUCUUGCACGAUAACGUACGAUAAUAAUCAUCACCCUUAACAAUAUUCGUGCGUGUCCCUGUGUAUCGAGCAAUAAUACGAUACGAUGGUAUCAAGAUAUCAUCGUUGACGAGAUAUAAUUCCACGCAUCGCUAUGGAAUUAAGGAGAGCAGAUUAUGGAAAAGUUUUAGGCUCGUAGGAAGUAGUACGAGGUUUGUCAAACGCGUUCGUUAUCUGGACAAUGAUUUAUGUAAGAACAAAUAUCUCCGCCCGCGAGGAUCAAGGUGCUCGACGCCACUUUAAUAACGCGGUAAUCCGUGCCCGUAUCCAUGACACCUUGGUAGCGCCAGAUACGGCGCAGAAACAAUUAUUAUUAUCCACACACAAAGGCUGUCACCUUUUAGCUAGAAUUCUGAUCCGCAACGAAUUUUACAGCCCGGCACUUAAUCACUCAGGUAGUAAGCCGACGACGAGGAGCACGGUUGACAGGGCUUUCAGAUUUCAGAAAUCGGUUGAUAAAUAUGUAAAUACCGUCGAAGGAGAGGAGGAAAAUUAUCAGAUGUUAAUUGAUGGAUCUUAUGAAAUAUUAUUUAUGAUUCGUAAUGAAAAAUUCGUAAAAUGAAAUUUUUUUUUUAAUUUCGAAAAUAAUUAAUCCAUUUAUUUAACAAAAAGAGAAUCACAAGGAAUUUUGAUGCCUCGUAUCUCGAUCGCCUUUUCGAAAGUGUUUCCUGAAAAAAUUUAUUCGCAUGAAAAUUUUAUGAUGAAACAAAAAAAAAAAAAAACGACGUAAGUUCAGCUAAUAAAAACGGGCCAAUCAGCUUAUCUGUGCGACACAUCGAGCUGUAAUUCGAGGUCUGAUUUACGCCUAUUUAUUAUUUCCAUGUGACGCGUCAGCUGAUCAUCCGCAGGGUAGCAGUAAAUCAAUCGGCAUCUCGAGAGCUGAUCAAAUAUUCUCGAAUGGAAUCAUCGUAUUUUUGACGAUGUUUUUCGUAAUACAUGGGCUAAAUGUUGGAAUGAAGAUAGGAGACGAAACGGAAAAGCCAUCAGGAAAAGUAGAGAAAAGAGAUUCAAGAGUUUCUCAAGAGAUUCUACAUCCAUUAAAUUUGUCUUCUAUGUAUAUAUUGUGAUUAUCACGAUUAAUCACAUGUUAAUUUUUUUAUACAUCAAUGUAAAAGCCUUUGAUAACUAUCAUUUCUUUGUUUCUUGAUAAGGGUGUCGUUUAGUUAGUUUAGUAGAUAUUGUUGGAAUAUAUAUGUUAGAUACAGCUUUCUAUUUCUUUCUUUUCUUUUGUAAUGAUAAAAUAGAUUCAUGGAAAUUUAAAUUUUUCUACGAACAAGAUUACAGAAAUUGUAUCAAAAGCAAUUAAAAAUCUAUUUUAUCCCUAAAAUAUCGUUACAUGUAUAUUUGCAUAUCUUAUACUCUUACCGUGCAUAAAUUUCCAUAAUCUAGUGAACGUUCAAGCAAUAGAAUCAAUAUAAUUAAAUAUCACAAAAGAUAGUUCUACGCAUCAUCUGAAUUAAAAAGAAUUCAUCAGAGGUUUAAUCAGUCUGUUCUUUUUCUUUUCUAACGUGUCCAUACUAAACUUUUCUACAUUUAAACUUUACAUAAUCAAGACUUACUUGAUUCAAACGAAGCUUUAAUUAUUGCUCAAGAAACAACAGAAAUACAAUAGGCAAUACAAUAGGCAACGAAUCAGCAUUCUAUAAAUUUGUCUACUAUUUAAACUUUCACAAUUCAAAUGGAAUUUAAUUAUCAUCAAACAUCACCAAUUUCACAUAACAACGAAUAAAUAAUAAAGAACGAAGUUAAA